CUACAGCGCCUGCUAAGAUUUUCAACUAUAUUCAAAUCAUGGGACGAAGAAAUUGAAAAGUAACAAGUUUUAAAAAAUACAAUCACUAAUUUUAACUGCAGAGGGUAUAUCAAUUGAUGGUGUUUCUCGUUUGGAUAACAAUGGUGCAAUGAAAAAAAUACUUCUUAUCUUUGUAUGUGUGAAGGUUUAUUGUCGCUUAUUCAUUAUACUCAAAUGGUCAAUCUGCAGAAUGUCACUAUAUCCAUACUGAAAUUGUACAUGCCAAACCAUUGAUUUGAAAAAAGCUGAAUUCGACUAAAAUGUGAGUUUUAUAUUCUUCUAUUUAUUUAAAAAUCAGUUGUGUUUCAUUAUAUAUAAAUUAGUUAAUUGAGUGGGUUAAUUUACUGUAACUUGCCAGAUAAAAGAUAUAAAUUGAUGAAUUUCUGCAACCACCAAGAUAUGAGUGCCAUGAUUAUUUUGUAUUUGCUAUCUGAUGGAAUUAUUGAUAUCAUCUUUUUUUUGUUAUUUUACUAUGAAUGAAAUUAAAAGUCACAUUCAUUACAGAUUUUCAUCUCCAUUCCGAAAGAAGCAACAUCUGCUGUGUCCCUCAGGUAAUUUUUUUUUUUUUUUUUUUUUUUUCAAUAAAUUCUACUA